UGGAGUAAGGGUGUUUCUGGGAGACGUCAGGAUGCCCAUGACCCGGAAGGCCUUGUGGAGCCUCCCCAGUGGCUAGAUAGAUCUGGAGAAAUGAACUCUGGUGACUCCCACUCUUCUUCAGACCCAAGUUCUCUGUGUGGCUGGGUAUUCCCUCCAGCUGGCCACAGCCACACCCUCCUGGAACUCUAGUGAGCCUCUGAUAGCUUCCAUGUUGUAGUCUAUGGCCACAUCUGGCUGCCAGUCUGACGGGAGCCAGAUGUUGACUUUCCUUCUCAUCCCAGAAGCUCCCAGUUUCCUCUGACAGACUCCCUUCUUAGUUCAGUGAUGCCAAGGGGCCCCAGAAGCUGCCACCAGCCUGCAGAACCAUGCCUUUGCCAUGUGAACCCUACAACUCCCUCACCCCCUCUGAGCUGUCUCAUUUCAUUUCCCACACGCUUACCAGUGAACAAUAAUGGGGAUCUACCCUGGGUUGGACAUUUGAGGGUCCUAUGAUGAAAUGAAAUAAUGGAGUGCCUGCCUUCACUGAUGUUUGAGGAACACAUGCAAAGGGAAGGCAGAGCCCUUCAUUUGGGGGAUUCCUCAUCAUGACUCAUAGAUGCCUGCAACAGCUAGCUCACUGGGUGUUUUCCUUCUCUGCGGACCUGUGAAAAGACACCCCAGGAUCACCAGCCCUGGAGUAGCACCAUCUAAAGAGAGCCGAAUCAGUUAUUAAUCAAGAAAAUGCCAUAUAGACAUCUGAUUGUGAUUGGUCACUGGUGACUGAAUGCAUGGACAACGAAACUGAAGGCUAACAUCUGUCCAGUGCUGCCUGAGGCCCUCACUGAAACGAUCACCAACCAGGGCAGAAAGAUACCCUAAGGACUAUGGGGAGCCACAGUCACUGGAAGCCUGUGGUCAUCCCACGGGCAAGGCCAGUCCCUCUGCAAAGGAUACUCUGAGCUCAUGCCAGCCCUGUGUUCUGCAGUGGGUCUCCGGACUCAGAAGGCCCGAGUGACAUGCAAUCUGAAUGCCAGCAUUACCUCAGAGAAGAGCCACCUACAGUGGGCAAGGCGUCCCCAGAUUCAAACACUGAAUCGUGGCUGCUGGAGGCAGGGGCUGUUAUGGAUAAACAGAUAAGGAAACUGAGGAUCCUGGAUAUAAGACAGUUUUGCUGAGGGUCAUGCUCCACAGCUUAGCCCUCCCUCUCCUCUCUACGAACAGUACGUACACCGAGAUGGAGGAAUGGAAGCUUCCCCCACUUAAGAGAUGAAGGACUUGGCCUCACAGAGGGGAAUACACAGCCGGGUUGGUAGGCAAGGUGGUGACCUGAAGAACUAGGGAAUGUUCCCUUCACCUACAAACAAACAGAUAUCCUGGGGAAAAUAUAACACAUAAAAGGAGAAGGGAAAGUCAGAAGCAAGAGGAGACCUCUAGAUCACGUGAGGAAUGGGAGAGGCUCACAAGCGCAGAAUACGAAAGACGACUUGCUGAGUCAGCAAGAAGCUCCUGAGUUCACGUGACAUAAGAUAAAAAUAAAAAUUUCAA